CCUUCGAUAGCUCAGUUGGUAGAGCGGUGGACUGUAGAGCGAAUGUCGAGUGGCAGUUAUCCAUAGGUCGCUGGUUCAAAUCCGGCUCGAAGGA
rfam:Aedes aegypti strain Liverpool supercont1.354 genomic scaffold, whole genome shotgun sequence.